rnacentral:rRNA from 1 species
AUACGUAGGGGGCGAGCGUUGUCCGGAAUGAUUGGGCGUAAAGGGCGCGUAGGCGGCGCGGUAAGUCUGGAGUGAAAGUCCUGCUUUCAAGGUGGGAAUUGCUUUGGAUACUGCCGCGCUUGAGUGCAGGAGAGGUUAUCGGAAUUCCCGGUGUAGCGGUGAAAUGCGUAGAGAUCGGGAGGAACACCAGUGGCGAAGGCGGCUUACUGGACUGUAACUGACGCUGAGGCGCGAAAGUGUGGGGAGCAAACAGGAUUAGAUACCCUGGUAGUCCACACCGUAAACGAUGAAUGCUAGGUGUAGGGGGUAUCGACCCCUUCUGUGCCGCAGUCAACACAAUAAGCAUUCCGCCUGGGGAGUACGGCCGCAAGGUUGAAACUCAAAUGAAUUGACGGGG